AACGAACGCUGGCGGCAUGCCUAACACAUGCAAGUCGAACGAGACCUUCGGGUCUAGUGGCGCACGGGUGCGUAACGCGUGGGAACCUGCCCUUAGGUUCGGAAUAACUCUCCGAAAGGGGUGCUAAUACCGGAUAAUGUCUUCGGCCCAAAGAUUUAUCGCCUUUGGAUGGGCCCGCGUUGGAUUAGCUAGUUGGUAGGGUAAAAGCCUACCAAGGCGACGAUCCAUAGCUGGUCUGAGAGGAAGAUCAGCCACACUGGGACUGAGACACGGCCCAGACUCCUACGGGAGGCAGCAGUGGGGAAUAGUGGACAAUGGGCGAAAGCCUGAUCCAGCAAUGCCGGGUGAGUGAUGAAGGCCUUAGGGUUGUAAAGCUCUUUUACCCGGGAUGAUAAUGACAGUACCGGGAGAAUAAGCUCCGGCUAACUCCGUG
rnacentral:rRNA from 1 species